rnacentral:lncRNA from 1 species
GCCAAUCAGACGAGCCAUAGGAUCCCUAUUCUCAAGCUUCAACCAAUGUGCGUAGCGGUGAUAUUUGCAUACAGGGGGCUUGACCAAUCCCUUGUCACUACAGGAGCUGGGUUUUGCGUGUUCUGGCCAAUGGGCGUGCGGGAUGCAGAGAUAAAGGUCUGCAUAUGAUUACCAUGUGGUUAUAGAAGGUGUUUAGUAUCGAUCCAGUAUCUGCUGGGUAGGUUACUUCUAAACUCGCGCUGUGGACCUGCAGGGUGGACUAUCUGAUCCUUUGUGACGGGAAUAGUAUCUCUGUAACAACAUGCCUAAAAGGAAGUCUGCCGAAGGGGCCGGUACCAAGGACGCCUCGAAAGUGACUAAGCAGGAGGUCGCUAAGCAGGAGGUCGCUAAGCAGGAGGUCGCUAAGCAGGAGGUCGCUAAGCAGGAGAAACCAGCUCCUCCCAAACCGGUUGAGGUCAAGCCUAAGAAGGCUAUCGCCAAGAAGCCGGUGGACAAGGACGUGAAGGGAAAGAAAGGAGGAGCUAAGGUGAAGAGGGAAGAUGGCCCCUCCCAUAACCGACAGACCAUGACAGAGAUCUGUGUGUCUCGUUCCAGUGUCAGUGUGACCUACUACAGAAGUCUUGCUCCCUACUCCAUGUCUGUCAGAGGACAGAGUGAGACAGUCCGAGUGAACGGAGACUGAUGCCGUGGGGGCGGGGUCUGACGAGGAGAAGGAAUGAGGAAAUUGGGGGUGUGUCUUUCUCUGACUUCUCCCAAACCGGUACCAUGGAAACGAAGAAAGGAUCUUUUUUUACGAGGAUUUUGUAAAAUGCAGAAUUGUUUUUUUUGGGGGGGGUCCUGUGAUAUUAACGAAGAUAAACUUAAUACCCCACGUCCACACUCCUUGCAGUUCUAUCACUCUCUCUCUCUCUCUCUCUCUCUCUCUCUCUCUCUCUCUCUCUCUCUCUCUCUCUCUCUCUCUCUCUCUCUCUCUCUCUCUCUCUCUCUCUCUCUCUCUCUCUCUCUCUCUCUCUCUCUGUCUCUCUCUCUGUCUCUCUCUCUCUCUGUCUCUCUCUCUCUCUCUCUCUCUCUCUCUCUCUCUCUCUCUCUCUCUCUCUCUCUCUCUCUCUCUCUCUCUCUCUGUCUCUCUCUCUCUCUCUCUCUCUCUCUCUCUCUCUCUCUCUCUCUCUCUCUCUCUCUCUCUCUCUCUCUCUCUCUCUCUCUCUCUCUGUCUCUCUCUCUCUCUCUGUCUCUCUCUCUCUCUCUGUCUCUCUCUCUCUCUCUGUCUCUCUCUCUCUCUCUCUCUCUCUCUCUCUCUCUCUCUCUCUCUCUCUCUCUCUCUGUCUCUCUCUCUGUCUCUCUCUCUGUCUCUCUCCCUCUCUCUCUCUCUCUCUCUCUCUCUCUCUCUCUCUCUCUCUCUCUCCCUCUCUUUCUCCUCUUCCUUUUCUUGAAAGACAGAAUAAAGUGACAUGUUUAAAAAAAAUAAAAAAUGUCUGCAACUAUUCUUCCUCUGGCAGUGGGAGGAGCCUUCACAGGGUCACCACGGUCAUGCGUCUCACGUCCUUUCUAAAUUAUGAUGUCAUAUCCUCUCUGCUACGAUAGCUCUUUUUGAUGACAUCACUGUAAAUUAAUUCGAUCUCCCACCUAUGACAUCAGAGACCCGGGGGUCAAACGAGGCUCCUAUGACAUCACAGGGGACCUUUGAACCUGACCUGAGGCGUUGCCACGGAGAAUAUUUGCGGCUUUUUUAAUAAGCAGACGUAGAAAAGUUUGAGAAUUGUCACUCCUGUGUUUGAAACUGUGGCAUAGCAAUAACAAGUGGUGUUUCUGUUCUGGAACGCUGUGGCUUCCAGACAGAGUUCCAGCCUGCCUGGGGGAAAAACAUUAUUUUGAAAUAAAAGCUGAAAGUUGAGGUCUUG